CACGUAGGGUGCGAGCGUUGUCCGGAAUUAUUGGGCGUAAAGAGCUCGUAGGCGGUGUGUCGCGUCGGCCGUGAAAACCUGCAGCUUAACUGUGGGCUUGCGGUCGAUACGGGCAUCACUGGAGUUCGGCAGGGGAGACUGGAAUUCCUGGUGUAGCGGUGAAAUGCGCAGAUAUCAGGAAGAGCACCAAUGGCGAAAGCAGCUCUCUGGGACGGUACUGACGCUGAGACGCGAAAGCGUGGGGAGCGAACAGG
rnacentral:rRNA from 1 species